rnacentral:rRNA from 1 species
UACGAAGGAUCCUAGCGUUGUCCGGAUUUACUGGGUUUAAAGGGAGCGUAGGCGGACUUUUAAGUCAGUGGUGAAAGCCUGCAGCUUAACUGUAGAAUUGCCAUUGAAACUGAUUGUCUCGAGUGCGGUUGAGGUCACUGGAAUGUAUCAUGUAGCGGUGAAAUGCUUAGAUAUGAUACAGAACACCAAUUGGCGAAGGCAGGUGACUAAGCCGUAACUGACGCUGAGGCUGAAAGCGUGGGGAUCAACAGGAAUAGA